rnacentral:hammerhead_ribozyme from 1 species
AUCCAUUUUAGGAGUUCAAAAUAGGACGAAACGCUCGUCCUGGAU